rnacentral:rRNA from 1 species
GAUGAACGCUGGCGGCGUGCCUAAUACAUGCAAGUCGAGCGAACAGACGAGGAGCUUGCUCCUCUGACGUUAGCGGCGGACGGGUGAGUAACACGUGGAUAACCUACCUAUAAGACUGGGAUAACUUCGGGAAGCCGGAGCUAAUACCGGAUAAUAUAUUGAACCGCAUGGUUCAAUAGUGAAAGACGGUUUUGCUGUCACUUAUAGAUGGAUCCGCGCCGCAUUAGCUAGUUGGUAAGGUAACGGCUUACCAAGGCAACCAUGCGUAGCCGACCUGAGAGGGUGGUCGGCCACACUGGAACUGAAACACGGUCCAGACUCCUACGAGAGGCAGCAGUAGGGAAUCUUCCGCAAUGGGCGAAAGCCUGACGGAGCAACGCCGCGUGAGUGAUGAAGGUCUUCGGAUCGUAAAACUCUGUUAUUAGGGAAGAACAAAUGUGUAAGUAACUAUGCACGUCUUGACGGUACCUAAUCAGAAAGCCACGGCUAACUACGUG